AUCGAGUUCUAACUAGAUUCAAUCGAAAGCUUGGGGUCGAUUUACAUUAGAAAACUGUUUUUAUUUUUUCUCUACAUGCCCUAUGAGUGGAGGUAUCGCGACGCAAAGUCUGAAAUGUCAAAAAUUCAUUUAAGAUACGUCGUCGUCGUCAACCUUGUAGGUAUCUCUGCGGGCAGUGCGGGUGCCGAAAAUGAGGGACGAAAUUCCAUCUCGCUCAUCUGCUACCAUGUGGCGUUCGCAUCGUCACUAUAGCACCAUAUAUGGCAAUGUUUAAGUCACGGGGGUUGUCAUGUCACUUGUCAGUGAUCGUUUACGCUAACUCGUGUCAAGUGAGGAUGAUGUGUGGUGUGUUUAAGGUUGUUAUUUCAAAAUUGCUGUCAAUAAUAAUGAAAAUCUAUAGUUUCCGUUACAUACAUACACUACUACAGAUUUUCAAUAUGACAGCAAUUCUGAAACAACUUCUUUGCGCUUUAAUUAAUUAAUAAUCGUGUCGAUCGAUGGUAGAACCUUGUCGUCGAAGGAUAUAGCUUCGUGCACAAAAGAAGGUUGCACGCGAGGUCGGACGCACGAGAAGCGCCGGGAGAUUGUAGUCACCCUGAGAUUCAAGUCCACGUCCACGCCUGGUUGUAAAGCCGGAGAGGGUAUCGGAUCACAAAUUUAUACUUUUGCGACUGCACACACUGGUGAAUUUUGCAUCGUCGAACACGUGGAUUAUACAGAAGGCUCUCUUAAUGAAAGGAUUGGGUAGAGUGAAAAUCGCUUUGAAAUUAGUUACACCCUCAGUAGCGGUUACUAUACUGACAUUGAGACUACCGAUCUCUUCCCAAAUGUCUGACAAGCUGAAAAUUACUAGAUACUGUUACGAUAUCACGACCAACUAAAGACCUGAUAUUACUGCCGUCGUUAACGAGCUGGAUAAUUUCGUUGAAUACGAAUAAAAUUGCUUAUGGAUUUAUUAAUAAAAGGAAUUGUUGCAAUCCAAUGUCAGAAUGUGUUAUACUUGAUGGAAUAUGGAGAUGUGGACUCGUUUACGUUAUAAACAGAGGCUUUGAUGACUGUCAUUGAGAGACUGAAUGCAGCUGUAAUCUACGAUGAUUUUAACUUUUAUAUUAAUAUCACUUAUUGUAAUAAAAUUUAUGUUUAGAAAAAUUAAUAGAUUGCAAACGUGUAUACAAUAAAAUGUAAGAUAUCCUA